GCUCGAGUAAAAUUUUUGUCCUGAUAUUUUCUUUCAACGAGUGUUCAGAAACAAACAACACAAGCUAUUACAUGUGAUAUAACUUAUUAAAUAAUAUUUCAAAUUUUACUUAACAAAACAUAAUUACUUCGCAUUUAAAUCCUUUGUUUUCUUGUUUGUUUGUUUGCUUGUUUACAUUUUCUUGUUGCCAUCUUGUACGCGAUUUUCUGAUUUUCUUUAGAGAAAGCGCGCUCGCGCCAAUCCUAAUGUGCAUCUCACGCAGCACGGUCAUUUAUUAGCACGUUUCACCGCCCGUGUUUUAUAGCGCCCUGAUUUCACUUAAAUUUGAUAUGUUCAAUAUUCAAACAAGACGCCUGCUCAGGCGUUUGCACUGGCCUGAAAAUGGCAACUUUCGUGGUAGGGUGUAAUGUGUAGUAGAGAAUUAGUAGAUAUGGAUACAGGAGGUCUGGACCAUAUAAAUGCAACCAAUAAAUGCAGGCAUGAUCAGCAACUAUCAACCAUAAUAUACCAAGACGCCGGCUCAGGUGUACCCUCCGGCUAUAGCCAACUCAACCUGACAAGCCAGGUCCACUGUAACUAUGAUCAUCAACUAUCAUGAUCGAUGGGCUAAUAAUAGUGGUAAACAUCUAAUAAACAAUUUGAGAAUUAAAAAAGUGGGGGUACGUUUCACUUCGCCGCACGUAAUGCCACCUCGCUGAAUACAAUCGAAAACAUACAUUUUAUUCAAUUUUAUAGUAAUACAUGAUGAAAUGGAAAGUAAUUUGGUGCAAAUUAAUGUAUAAUUAGGUGCAAAUCUAUAAUUAUGCAAAUGAAUACAAGUGCACAACGCAUGUUUAUGAGCCUACAACGUAUAUUUAUACUUGUUAAUUAAAAAGUCAAACUGUCAAACCUUUAACUUGUCCUUGUUUAUAUUCCACUAUAUUGUAUAAAUUCGCUGGGUCCAAAUUAUGGGGCUUUCGAGUCGUUACACAAAGAAAAACACAUUAAUUAAACACGCAAGAAAGGCCGGAGUGCGACACAACGUAAAAUCCAUAGGAAACCGGCACAAUUCUUUGAAACAAGCGUAUGGGCUAAUAAACGAAAAAUGUACCACUAAAAUGUACCAUGAGCCGGCUAUUACAUACAUAAAUACGAACUUGUUAUUAUAGUAUGUAAAUCAUGGAACCGAGGAAUCGAUGGCAUUUUUACUUAAUCAUUGCACCCUGAGCCUGCGAUGAGCUAACGCAAAUUCAAUUUCUCGACUACGAAAAAAAACCCAGAAAAAGAGGGAUUUAAACAUCAACAAGACGCCUGCUCAGGCGUUCACACUGGCCUGAAAAUAACGAGAUACGUGCUAUGGUGCAAAAGGCAGGAAUACAAAUCUUAAACCGCAAGCAAAUUUUAUGGACUUUUUAAAAAAAUAAAAGACCUUUUUGGGAGACGUAAUGGUGCAAAUCUAUUUCUAUGAGUUACUAUCGCAAGGAAAGUGCUGCCUUUGUGGCGUAUGAACUGAAUGCAAAACUUUAUACUUCUAGACAAUUCUCUGUUAUAUCCCCAAUGUUUCCUUCUCGUUCAUCAUUUAAGCCCGUUCACAAACUCAUUCUAGC
rnacentral:lncRNA from 1 species